AACGGCCUUAUCGCGUCGAAACACCGAUUCCCGUACAAUCACCGAAGUUAAACAACUUCGAACCUGAUCAGUACCUAGAUGGGUGACUGCUUGGGUAUACCAGGCGCUGUAGG